rnacentral:lncRNA from 1 species
AGGAGCUUCCGCGAGGCUCGCCCGGCAGCUCCUGCUCCACAGCAGGCUUCCUACUUUGACGCCUCACGCGCUCUUCAGCUCUCUUUUUCUGUGGGUCUCGCGGCUCUCCCCCUCUACAAUUACGAGUAGUGCCUUGAGCCGGGCGUUCGGAGACCCACACAGGAGGGACAGGAUGGGGAGAGCGGCAUUAAAGGGUGGUGACUCAGGAGUUCAAGACCAGCCUGGCCAACAUGACGAAACCCCGUCUCUACCAAAAAUACAAAAAUUAGCCAGGCAUGAUGGCGGACGCCUGUAAUCCCACCUACUCGGGCGGCUGAGGCAGGAGAAUCGCUUGAACCCGGGAGGCGGAGGUUGCAGUGAGGCGAGAUAGCGCCACUACACUCCAGCCUGGGCGACAGAGCGAGACUCCGUCUCAAAAUAAAAAUAAAAAAAAAAUAAAGGCGGGGUGGUGGUGGUGACAAGCCCCUAUUACGGCCUUAGUGCGGGAUUCCCCUUGGGGCGGGAGACGUCGUCCUUCCGGGUGCGGGUGCGGACUGCAAGUCCUAUCGGGGACCGCGACACCGGACUGCAUCCGCCAGCGUCCAGGGCGUAGCGCCCCCCAGGCGCUGCCUUCGUCCAUCUCUACGGGGAGUGGCGGCCAGAAGACUGGGUUUUCCCCGUGCAGCUGUGCCCCACGUUGGGGAAACUGACUUUUCAGAUGGCCUCACCCCUUAGUGCCAUCCAGUGAUGAAGUCACCAGGUGGAGGUGGUGCUGGCUAAAACUCGAAGAUUAUUCCUUUACUCUGAGAAUCUCCUCAACAUCCACCAUUCCUGCUAUCUGGAACUCAAGUCAUCAGCAUACAGAACUACAAUCAGAAAAAGAGUCAGCCCCACUGUAGGCCCCCAAAUACUAAGGGACAAAAUGUUGCAUCUUCUGAUUCUAAAGCCCAUUCUCUUUCCACUAUAUCAAUAACCCUCAAAUUCAUGCCAAAUGUACAUUAGUUUUUGUGUCUGGUACUUUCCUUCUUAGAGUGCUUGGGGAGGAUGGUGGGAAGGAAUGAAGAGGACAAGGACAGACUCGUCUGCCUCAAUACAUCCACAUAGUGGACACCACUGUCUUUUGGGAAGCUUCCCCCUCUCUCAGGAGUACGUGAGUAAGUUGUUUCCCUGGCUACCUUCCUGGGGAACCAAAGUUUGCGGGGAAAGAACACAUCAAAGUGCUUGUUGCAAAGAAGAACCUCCUCUUUAUUCCACAUAUAGAAGCUGUGUUUCCAGAGCUGGGAAAGGGCUUCGACCUGGCCCUACCUCUGUGUGGGCCUAGAGAUGAAGGUCUAGGGCCGGGCGUGGUGGCUCACACCUGUAAUCCCAGCUACUUGGGAGGCUGAGGCAUGAGAUUUGCUUGAACCCGGGAGGCGGAGGUUGCGGUGAGCUGAGAUCGUGUCAUUGCACUCCAGCCUGGGCAAUAAGAGUGAAACACCGUCUCAAAAAA